GCAAGGAACAAGUGGCGCGCUCCAGCGAUUUUCUCGACGGCCAACUGAGUUUUCGUGAGCGCCUGAUGAUGCGCCAUCAUCUGAUGUUCUGUGCCACGUGCCGGCGUUUCAUUCGCCAGAUGCGCCUGAUGCAGGCCACGCUCAGAAAGCUGCCUGAAUCGCCGGUUCCCAAUCUGGAUCAGUUGGCUGAAAAACUCGCGGCCGAGCGCCGUAAAAAUAUU
rnacentral:misc_RNA from 1 species